CCUACGGGUGGCUGCAGUGGGGAAUAUUGGACAAUGGGCGAAAGCCUGAUCCAGCCAUGCCGCGUGUGUGAAGAAGGCCUUCGGGUUGUAAAGCACUUUCAGUGGGGAAGAAAGCCUUGGGGCUAAUACCCUCGAGGAAGGACAUCACCCACAGAAGAAGCACCGGCUAACUCCGUGCCAGCAGCCGCGGUAAUACGGAGGGUGCGAGCGUUAAUCGGAAUUACUGGGCGUAAAGCGCGCGUAGGCGGUCUGAUAAGCCGGUUGUGAAAGCCCCGGGCUCAACCUGGGAACGGCAUCCGGAACUGUCAGGCUAGAGUGAAGGAGAGGAAGGUAGAAUUCCCGGUGUAGCGGUGAAAUGCGUAGAGAUCGGGAGGAAUACCAGUGGCGAAGGCGGCCUUCUGGACUGACACUGACGCUGAGGUGCGAAAGCGUGGGUAGCAAACAGGAUUAGAUACCCUAGUAGUC
rnacentral:rRNA from 1 species